rnacentral:rRNA from 1 species
GACGAACGCUGGCGGCGUGCCUAACACAUGCAAGUCGAACGGGGCUCUUUGGAUCGAGACUUCGGUCAAGUGAAUCUGAGCUUAGUGGCGGACGGGUGAGUAACGCGUGAGCAACCUGCCUUUCAGAGGGGGACAACAGUUGGAAACGACUGCUAAUACCGCAUAAGCCCACAGCUCGGCAUCGAGCAGAGGGAAAAGGAGUGGUCCGCUUUGAGAUGGCCUCGCGUCCGAUUAGCUGGUUGGUGAGGUAACGGCCCACCAAGGCGACGAUCGGUAGCCGGACUGAGAGGUUGAACGGCCACAUUGGGACUGAGACACGGCCCAG